rnacentral:lncRNA from 1 species
AAACAAUACGAAACAUAUGGUUUCUGGUAAUUAGAUCGGACAGAAAGUUGAUCUUUUGUUUAAUAUCUCUCAAAUUCAUCAAUUUAUUCUUCUUCUUCUCUCUCUCUCUGCUCUGCUCUCUCUCUAUGCUCUUUGUUUGUUCACGUUAAUCAUAGAGGUUGAAGUAAUACUUUUGGGUUAUAAGUAACGAAUAAGAUUUUCUCAAGUUCAACAUGAUUAGAUCUUGAUUCAAUCGUGGCCAACUCUUUUCCCUAAACCUUUCUAUUCUUUCACAAGUCAAAACCUUAAUUAAACUUAGAUCAUCGUCUUCAUCAUCGUCUCCGGCCUGUUCUUAAUCCAUCGAUUCAGAAGGUAUUUCUUUCUCCUUGAAUCAAACCUCUCUUUCUACUUUUCUAUAAAUUUCUACUUUUUUUUAUCACAAGUUAUGACUUAUUAAACCUAUGACUUGCAGCCUCAUAGAAAUUGAGGCAAAGCUGACAAGGCUCGAAAUUGAGAAGGUUAGUAUGAGUUUUUUUUAGUGUAAUAUGUUGUCUAUAUUUAGGUAAUAUAUAGAUGAUGCUCUUAGGUACUUGCAGU